CAUUAUACGAAAACUUAACACAGGUCAAGAACUUCACAAAAUUUCAAUGAUGAUAUGGCCCUGCAAAGACAAAGAAAUAAGUUAUACUUACACAACCCAAACCUAAUAAAAUUGAACAAGGCAGAUAUUACACAAUAAAUAAUAUCCGGGCUAAGAGGAUCGAUGUUAUAACUCAUAAAGCAAAACUUUGGUUUGAUUCUCUACUAGUGCGCUUUUGGGGGAGGAUAGUUAAAAGAAUGGAAUCCGACCAUAUAUUCAACCCAAUGCAACUAAUUGUUGCUUCAACCUUUUCAGUUUUGCAACGUGAUUUUAGAGGCUGCAAUCGAGUCCGGAAGCUAUCCAAACAUAAUAUAUAAUGUGCCCAAAACUAUAUUUUUAUUAUUAUAAUAAUCAAACAGCCAACUAAGCACAACAAAAUAAUUAAAGAUUUGAAAACCACAAUCUCUCAGCGAACAGAUCCUAGUGAAAUUCCUGAUAUUUGUAUAGACGCGUAGCAAUCAAUGGUAAACUACAACAAUUGUCUCCUUAAACAAAAUAUCUUCUUAGUAUGAAUCCGACCCUAAAUUUAAAACCAAAGAUUUUUAGGGAAGCUUACCCUUAAAACUGUGCGAAAACGAAAAAGUGGAAAGAUCUAGGCAGAGAAAAACACUGUCUAUCAUGAUUAACACAGCCAUUUAAACGCAAAAACAACCACACAAAACAAAAGACAUCCAAAUUAGAAUAAAAUAAUUGGACAAGAAAAAAAUAGAAUCACCUGCAGAUGAUAACAGAAACGCGGGUGGAAAAUUGUGAAGCGAGAAUCAGAGGAAAGAAGGAGAGAGUGCUAUUGAGAGUUUUGGGGGUACGAAGGAUCGAUAAAUAAUAUAAACGGGGGCGAAGAUUAGGGUUUCGAAGAAAAAGGAGAGGAAAGAUCCACGCAUGUGUGGGUGAAAAUGGGGUUUUAGGGUUUCAGCGUAAGAGAGCUGUUGGGUUUAGAGCUAGCUUAGCUUCUCCGAAAGAAACGUAC
rnacentral:lncRNA from 1 species